rnacentral:misc_RNA from 1 species
AACGCACGAGACCUGCGGACCUGCGGAGGGAUCAUUAACGAGUUAGGGUCUUCUAGGCCCGACCUCCCAACCCUAUGUUUACUGAACUUCUGUUGCUUCGGCGGGCCCGUCUCACGACCGCCGGAGGAGUCGCCGCGAGGCGCCCCUCUGGCCAGCGCCCGCCGACGGCCAACCCUUUCAAACUCCGAAUAAAUCGUGUCAUGAUGUCUAAGUCUAUGAUUAAAUUAAAGCAAAACUUUU